rnacentral:misc_RNA from 1 species
GAUGAAGAACGUAGCGAAAUGCGAUAAGUAAUGUGAAUUGCAGAAUUCAGUGAAUCAUCGAAUCUUUGAACGCACAUUGUGCCCGGUAGUAUUCUGCCGGGCAUGCCUGUUCGAGCGUCAUUUCAACCAUCAAGCCCCAGCGCUUGUGUUGGGGGCCUGCGGCUGCCGCAGCCCCCUAAAAGCAGUGGCGGGCUCGCUAUCACACCGAGUGCAGUAGUUCAUCUUCUCUCCGGUCUUGUGAGGCGGGUUCCGGCCGUGAAACACCCCACUACAUUUCAAGGUUGACCUCGGAUCAGGUAGGAAUACCCGCUGAACUUAAGCAUAUCAAUAAGCGGAGGA